ensembl:lncRNA
AGCAAACUCAAUUCAACAAAAUUAUAACAAUAAAUAAUUUAUACUUGUUUUAUUAUACUGAAGUUACUGACGAUACCUCACCUGUGUAAUGAGGAAUGAUAAAACUCUGUACAAAAGUGAACACACACACGCACACACACACACACACACACACACACACACACACACACGCACACACACAGAGGUGUGUGGUGUUUUUAUACAUGGAAUACAGCUUCGUGUCAUCGCUCGUUGUUUUGUUUGCUCGCUCAUCAUUUGCUUGUUUUGUUGAUGUUUGACAAAAAGAGGAUGUUUAUGACACUUUCUCGCCGGUUGCUUAGCAACUAAUGGUGUAAAUACAAGUAGCUAACAUUAUUUCGGACCGUAAAGCUACACUUAUACUCUUUCUGUGUGUCUGAAAAAGUGAACUGUGUUGUUUUACAGUCGUGGCUGUGUGACAGUUCAGUCAUGCGGCGUGAUUCCUCAGUGACGAGGUUAUAAAACCAGUCCCGGUUCAGCUGUGGGCUAUGAAGUGAUUGGUGGAGGUCAGGCUGAAGGGGCGGAGUUAGUGCAUGGAGAUGAUUUCAUUUCUACUCUUACUAAUUUAGCCUGAAAUGAAAAUGCACUGUCUCUAAAUUAUUCGAUUCCCAAAUGAACAAAUCAAACAUAAACAAAAACAAUUAAAUGAAUGAAUUAUUGAAUAAAUAGCUUAAGAGUAAGGGGCGGAGUUAGUACUUGUGUUUUUGUUUUUUUGGAAACUAACUAAAAACACCACUCGCAGUCAUAAUAAAUGAUGCAUGUUUAAAUGACAUUGUCAAGCUGUGACGUCAGUUUAAUCAAGAUUAAUUCAUAAAAUCACUGGGAAAAAAAAAAAAAACAUUUUAAAACCAGCAUGGGUCACAGCAGUCUGAAAAAAAGCAAUCAUAGAUAUUUCUAAUAAUGCAAAAAUCUAAUAAUGCAAAAGUCCGGUGCAAUAGCUCACGCUUGUUAACGUUCCUGUCGUUUUCUUGUGAAAUCCAGGUUAACUAAGUUGAAAUCUCACUAAAGAAACUAGCAAAAGAAUGAUGAAAGGAAUAAGUAUGUAGCGUAAAGUUGAGGUCGGGCCGAGGGGGCGGAGUUAGUGCAGGUCAAUUUUCUUAAUAUUUCAUUUCUGUUGAAAGUAACCAAGGAGAUGAUGUUAACAUUCCUAUGAACCUGAUGUGUUUUCCCAACAAUCUGAUGUCAUAUGUUGAAGAUGAUCGACAUGUCCAAAGACAUGCGCUGUAGGCUGAUGGGAAUUUCCAUAUUGUCUGUAGUGUGUGAAUGUGUGUGUGAUUGAGCCCUGCAGCCGGGGUGUCCCUCGCCUUGAGUUUUAUUCUUCUCGAGAUAUUUAAUGCUAUGGUGUGAGAUGUGUUUAUGAGGCAUCAUGGUCAGCAUCAUGUCCUCGAUAUAUGAACACCAGCAACCAAACCUAGAGGUUUCCCUUUUCGCUUCCAUCUUUAUAACUGUUUAAAUCUGUGUUAACGUGAGCUGGAGAAACGUCUAAAGUUCCUCGGAGCGUGAAGAAGCUGAAACUGAAAUGGAUCAGACUGAAAAUCUGAUUUGUGUCGAACGGAACGACUUCGGGAGAGCGUCUGAGUAGAGCAGAGAACCUGAAAUGUCCAGCCGUGAGUGUGGAACGUGAGGAAUUCCUGCUGGAUUAUCUGUCGGAUCGGAUUUCUCCCCACAUCCUAACACGCCUCAUCUAUCCAAGGCGUUCUGAUGAGGAAAGUGUGAAGGUGCAGUAAGGCUGAUUCACAUGGGAAUAUACUGUAUGGGAAUAAACAGAAUUCCCACAUGAUGAUAUCUAACUCCGUGCAAGAACUGAGUUUCUAAAUUUGUACUCCAACUGGGAAUUCCAGCUUGGAUUUUGGGAUCUUCCUGACAGUACUGAUUUCUCCUGGAUGUUAGUGCUCGGCUGUAGGUUUCAGAGCGACACCAAUAGGGAAGUGGUGGCUCAGUGGUUAAGACGUUGGAUACUGAUCAACAGGUUGAGAGUUUGAAUCCCAGCACUGCCAGGCUUCCACUGCUGGGCCCUUGAGCGAGGCCCCUUAACCCUCAACGGCUCAGUUGUGUAAAUGAGAUAAAUGUAAGUCGGUCUGGAUAAGGACGUCUGCUAAAUGCCAUUAAAAAUGGUCCAGUUUCAGAAAGUUCCUUACUUACGAAGGACUGGAUGAGCGACCAACGUGAGUGUAGUGAUUAGUUUCUGGCUAUAAAUAGAACAGUUUGAAAGACCAUGACACGGGGAAAAUAAACAGACACACCGCUCUGUCCAGUUUUUACCUUUAAACAAGACGUGUUCACGAAAUCAGAUCCAAGAGCGUAAAAUAAAACAAAUUGAAAAUGAUCUGUGAAAUCUUUCUGGAGUAAUGUCUCUCCCCCUCGAGCUAGUCACUGGUCCAAUGCUGAGUUGGACUUGGUUUUAUACGCAGUGCAAGUGACCUUGACCAAUCAGCAUCCACGUUUUAAUUAGAAGAGAUGUUGUGGCUUCAGUGAGGCAGAGAAGCAAACUUUUAAGCCACACGCGUUCUACACACGCUUCUACACGGGUAUUAAACAGUAUGUUUAGGAAGUAGAGGUGUACUGAACUCGCUGUGUGAAGCACACAGUUAAACACUGGUUUAAAAAUAAACCGCACGUCCUUUUUACGGUUUAAGUGGAAAGUUAAUAUUGCAACUCACGUCAGAUAGCAUUAGCAUUAGCAUUUCCACAGUGACAUUAGCGAGCUUCAUGUACUGAACUGAACUUUCCGGUCAGUGAGAAGACGUGUAAAUACGUGUUGUUGUUGUUUGUCACGUGGAAAAGUUGGAUUCAUUCGAGAUCCCGGCGAGACGUGCGGAACGGGACUUCACAUCUAUUCCCGAGCGUUAUGCAGCGAGAGAUUAACGCUGGAUUCUGAAGCCCUGAAAUCUCUGUGUUUUAUUUUGACGCAGAGUUUUUCACGCUCCGGUCGUUAAACAAACAGAUCAGCAUCACUGUGCGCUUUCAGGCUCUGCUUUGGAUCUGCACAUUGUGUUUACGCUUUUAUUUCCCCUUGCACCUCCAGCGUUCUCUGUCAUUUUUUUGAGAAACAGAAAGCCUCAUGCAAUCUCCUGCAAUUUCAGAUAUGACUGUUUUACAUUUUCCACUCCUGGGAGAAACGGUGCAUGGGGCAGAAGCUAAACACGGAUUAGUGCUUUAGUGCGUUAGUGUUUUAGAUUCAGACCUUAAAUGCUUUUUAAUGGCAGUGACGCUGAUCAGUUAAGCUCCGAGCCCAGCGGCUUUCAGAUUACUGCGAGCAGAGACACUGGGUGAGGAUCUGCGGUGUGCUUUCACAUUACAUCAUCUCUGAGUCGCAGUGAGACGCACAUGGAGGACACAUUUAUGCAACAAAAAGUGAGAAAAACGGACCGAAGAAGCUGAAGAAGAGAAUUUAGAAUCUUAAAGCAUCAUGAAAUCAAUAAAUAAUAAAUACACAAUUAAGUCAUUAAGAAAGUAACAAAAGUAACGAACAAUACACAGAUGAAUUAUGGAGUCUGGUCAUGAUAUCCCACAAUGCACUGCUUGGGUUAAUGUUUAAUGAUAGAACUUCACGUUAUUCUAGAUCGAAAAGAUCCAAAUUAAUCAGGAGGAACUUCAUCACGCAGCAAGACACUCAACACGUUUACAUGGACAACACUCAGUCCAUUUACAAUUAAGGUCAUCAGUAAUCUCUGUUUACAUGCUAGUUUAUUAAUCAGAGUAUCGUCUUAAUCAGGCUCAUAUCGGAGUAUUGUUGUCCAUGUAAACGUACUGACUGAGUCACAGGAUUGAUGCAGUCACUGCGAGUAAGGGAAAUACGACCAAAUAUUAAGAGUUAUUUACUUUCAUUUACUUCAAGACCGAUCUGUUCCUAUACUUUUGCUCACCUAAAUAUUGUGUGGUCUGAUACAAAGGUGUCAAACAUCAGGAAAUAAAAUCUGAAAUUCUGAUCUAUCAUCUCAUGUUCAUCUGUUAAUCUCACACACAAAUAAAUGUCUUCAAUGUAUACGAUACCUUGCUGUUCCAAUACUUUC